AAUUAGAAAGCGAAAAAUUGCAUUUAGUUUCGACCUAAAUUUUGAUCAAAGAGAUCUCUAAUUU
rnacentral:tRNA from 1 species